AGAGCUGUCGUGCAAUUUUCUGGUCCAGCAGUAGGGCAUGUCUUCUUUUUGGCACACAGGUGAUCAUGGGAAGUGCCUCCGUGCUGACUCUGAGCAUCCCAGUCAGUGUCGCUGUCAGCAAGAGGUUCUCCUUCUGCACAGACAUCUGCCUGCUGGAGACAGACACUGUGGAUAAUGUGUUCCAUGUGGGUGAGAAGCUGAGCUGGUCCUAUAGAGUAUGAGUCACUGAAAGACAGUCUCAUCACGGUCAAAUCUUGUAUCAAAGACUGGCUCUGAUUGCAGGUGAGGUCAGUGCUUCUUUGGUGGUUUAAUAAAUAUAGAUAUAAUUAAACA
rnacentral:lncRNA from 1 species